rnacentral:rRNA from 1 species
GAGUUUGAUCCUGGCUCAGAAUGAACGCUGGCGGCGUGCUUAACACAUGCAAGUCGAACGGUAACAGAGAGAGCUUGCUCUCUGUUGACGAGUGGCGCACGGGUGAGUAAUAUAUAGAUAAUGUGCCCCUUGGACCGGGAUAGCCAUUGGAAACGAUGAUUAAUACCGGAUACUCCUUCUUAUCAAAAGAUAAGUUGGGAAAUGGAUUCCGCCAAGGGAUCGGUCUAUAUCCCAUCAGUUAGUUGGUAGUGUAAGAGACUACCAAGACGAUGACGGGUAGCGGGUUUGAGAGGAUGAUCCGCCACACUGGUACUGAGACACGGACCAGACUCCUACGGGAGGCAGCAGUGAGGAAUAUUGCACAAUGGGGGAAACCCUGAUGCAGCAACGCCGCGUGGAGGAUGACGCAUUUCGGUGUGUAAACUCCUUUUAUAGUCAAGAAAA